GAUGAUGAACGUAGCGAAAUGCGAAAAGUAAUGUGAAUUGCAGAAUUCAGUGAAUCAUCGAAUCUUUGAACGCACAUUGCGCCCGCUGGUACUCCGGCGGGCACGCCUGUCCGAGCGUCAUUUCAACCCUCAAGCCCUCCUUCGGGAUGGGCCUGGUGUUGGGGCUCGGCCGCCAUCUCCGGCGGCCGUCCCCUAAAUACAGUGGCGGUCACGUCGCGACUCCUUUGCGUAGUAGAAACACCUCGCUCCGGAUAGCAACGCGGUCCACGCCGUAAAACCCCCAAUUUUCAAUGGUUGACCUCGGAUCAGGUGGGAAUACCCGCUGAACUUAAGCAUAUCAAUAAGCGGAGGA
rnacentral:misc_RNA from 1 species